GAAGAGUUAGUUAAAUAAUAACAUUAACUUGUCAUGUUAAAAUUACUUUAGAAGUGCUUUUCU
rnacentral:tRNA from 1 species